rnacentral:rRNA from 1 species
CCUACGGGUGGCAGCAGUCGAGAAUCAUUCACAAUGGGGGAAACCCUGAUGGUGCGACGCCGCGUGGGGGAAUGAAGGUCUUCGGAUUGUAAACCCCUGUCAUGUGGGAGCAAAUUAAAAAGAUAGUACCACAAGAGGAAGAGACGGCCAACUCUGUGCCCGCAGCCGCGGUAAUACAGAGGGCUCAAGCGUUGUUCGGAAGCACUGGGCGUAAAGCGUGCGUAGGCGGUUUCGUAAGUCGUGUGUGAAAGGCCCGGGCUCAACCCGCGGACGGCACAUGAUACUAUGAGACUAGAGUAAUGGAGGGGAAACCGGAAUUCUCGGUGUAGCGGUGAAAUGCGUAGAUAUCG